rnacentral:lncRNA from 1 species
UCUCUGUUUAAUUAUUUUAUCCUUAGCUGGGCUGCCUACAUCUCAGGAUCAGCAGAAUGUGAGGCUCACCCUUCCAGCUCUCUGUUUCUGGGUUUCCCUCUUUGCUUUCUGGUCACUGAGGUUGCCAGGAACACUGUGUGCUGGGCAUUCCCAUCUCUGGGUUUUCCGUGAGAAUUUCUUCUACCUUGUGCAUCAGGGACCAUGUCUGCCCUUGGGUUAAGGCCACUACAGAGGAGACCAAUGAAGAGCCAGUUCCUCCCUCAAGUGUCAAAGAGUCUGCUGGCUGGAACUUCAAGACUGUUGGAGGGUGACGAAUCUGAUCAGACGCCGGGGACUGCCGGCUGCCAUUGUGUGUUUGCCUCUGUGGUCCCCUUCUAGACACUGUCCUUCCAGCCUCAUCCUCCUGGCCUUCCACAGAGCGCUCUACGAAGCACUGGCGGAAAGCACCCUCCGGGAGCUGAGGGUUCUCAGAUCUCCCCUGCAAAAUCUGCCCAUAGCAACAUUUGGGGGCUGUCUUCUCUAUUUACUCCAGGGAGUCCUCCGGGUUUGGUCUGGAUUCUAUUCACCAUUUAUAAUAAGCCCUAGGUGUAUGAAAGUGAUGUGCACACAGUGGAGAUUAAUACAUAUUGGUUAAAUGGCAAAUGAUAAUUUUAGUAUUGAAAUGAACCCUGAGGAGGAUCAGUUUCCCAUUAUACAGAAGUGAAAACUGAAGUGCUCGUGGAAGUGCAGGUGAAUGGACCCUCACUAGCAAAACGGGUCUAAGGUGAAGACAUCCCUUUGCUCAGUCUAGUACUUUCCCAUACACUAUAGAACAGAUAUCCUCAUAAAACUAAGAGAAGCAAUGCCAGAGUCACAGAAAUGGAAGAAAACCCCAAAUGUAAAUGAAUUGGGAACAUGUGAAUAAGAAGCUUCUUAAGAUACUUGCAUGUUAGAAUUUUUUAAAAGUAUUUGAGGAAAUAUAUUGAGCUUUUGAGCUAUAUUGACUCCAGUAUUUGAGAAUCAGCUUGUGGUGCUUAACAUCUCUCAAGGCAGCCGGGUUCCCCCAUUCCAACUUGGUAGCAGUGUCAAGAGAUAAAUAGGUAAAAUUAUCUGCCAUAAUUUAGAAAUAAAUACAACUGAAUGGCUUAAGCUGCUGGCUUAAAAUCUUUCAGAACUGUUGAACCCUCUCACUAGAUUUUGUCAAGAUGAUCUCGUCAGUCAUUUUAUGUCGGCCAUGAAGCAGUGGCCAAUUCCCUGCCUGUGUUACCUGAGAAAAUAAAC